AGAGAAGUUUGUGUAUUGAAUUUUUUAUUUUUAAUAUUAAAGAGCUUUGUUAAACUUAGACUUAAGUUUAGGUCAUUUUGGGGGUUUAGCUCAGUUGGCUAGAGCAUCGGCUUUGCAAGCCGAGGGUCAAGGGUUCGAGUCCCUUAACCUCCAUUGGGCUUAUGUCCUAAAUCGUAAUUAAGUAUGUUUUUAAGUAACUUUGUUAAAGUAAUUGUUGGAACGUGAAACAGAGGAAGUUAAAAUUUCUGGGUUAAGUUGAGAUCUGUUGAUAUUAAGAAGAAUCUCUAGAAGCAAAAGCAAGCUUUCGAUAAAACCCGAAGUUGUUUCGCUAAAGUGCAAGGAUUAAACAGGAUUGUAUUUUCCAGUAGCCUAUUUUAUAAAUGAUCUGCAUUUAGUAAAUAGUUUUUAGUUAAGAAAUAAUGUAGAUUGCUAAGUGUGAUGCCUGAAAGAAGGACAAGUAUUGUAGCGAGCCUAAAUCCUUGUUGUCGUUGCCAGUAUUUAGUGGUAGGGAUUCGGAUAAGACUGCCAUUUAUAAGUUGGAGGAAGGCAAAGAUUGCAUUAAAUCGUUAU
rnacentral:tRNA from 1 species